rnacentral:ncRNA from 2 species
GUUGAUCUUCGGGGCAAGGUGCUUGUUUCGCGAAAGCGGAACGAAAUUCCUGACCGGCGGUAAAGUCCGCGAGUCCGUUGAAUAAACGAACAGACAUGGCGAAAUUCCAUGACCGACAGUAAAGUCUGGAUGAAAGAAGAUCGUG